GCCUUGUUUUUCUGAAGAAAAGGCCAAAUGGCCUUUUCUAUUUUUUCGGAGAGGCAGUGCCUCUCCUCCUUAUUUUUCUCUUAUGGAUUUUUAUAGAAAAUCCUUGAUCUACGAAGAUCCAACGGUCCGAUCUUCGAUCCGACUUCGGUAACGUGAUCUACGAAGCUCGAUCUACGUUUCUACCGAUCGUUUUGAGAUUUUGGGUAGUUUGGAGUUGCUAGGAGCUUCCCGAGCAUUUGGUCUUUGCUUGACGAAUUUUUGACAUUGAUGCUUUGGUUGCAGGCUCUGCGGAUAUAGAUAUUGACUCGUCCACCUAACGUAUGGGAUACUAUGAUUGGAGCACAACGCAACAGUCAUAAGACACGGACGCAUGGGUAGUCCACAUUUUGGGUAUUUUAUCUAUGGCUCGUGUCCUACGUGGCACAUGUAUUUGUGGAGCCUAUAUUUUAGAAUGUAAUUAGUGUAAUAUGUUAUAUAAGCCUUAAAUAGAUAGAUUUGUAAAUGGCUCUUGUUGUAAUUAACAGUUGUGUAUUAGAUGUACUUCCGCUUAUGAUAUGUGUUUCGCUGCACAUUGAUUACUA